AUGGCAUAUGGCAGGCUCGGAGUGCACGAAGCGGUGGAUCGCUUAUUUUUCGGGAUUUUGCUUCUCGUAAGUAUACUUCGUCUUUGCGUUUGAUGUGCAUCUACUACGCGUAGCUAAUCUUUCGACUGCAUGAUGCCAUAUAUAGGUGUUCUGUGAUGAUACUUUAUAGCCAGGUUCCUCACGAGCUUUUGUGAUGCAUUGCAGGGACCGCCACACCGGCCAGCCAGUGCUACAGUGUCCUAAUGCAGAGAACGUAUAUCACACGGAACUGCGCUCCUUCAGAGUUAUUUAGAGUCUUUGUCAGAAGCACGUAACAGUAACAUUACUUGGUUACGGUGCUGCUACAUGGCAGAAUAUUUGAAUGGCAGAUGUCCCGAGUGCGGCAUCUCCAGCUUCUUGAGACGUGCACGUAGUAGUGCCACGAGUGGGAGGACGUACCGCAGGCGUGAGGUGGCUACUGCAUGGUACAGCCGCAGAGCCCACCUAGUGGUGCAGCUCUGUCCUCGGGCAGCAAGCUGGGAGACUGCCUUGUGGACCCGGAGGACCUGGACAUGCAGGGUCUUGACAGCAGGCAGCCAGGUCAGCCGGUGAUGAACGUGUAGCCCCGGGUACGUCACUGCCAGGCUUCAAGGUCGCCUUCCAGUUGCAGCUGUGCAGCGGGCGGUUGCUCUUGGGUGGAGCAGCAUGGCCUCGGUCUUCCUUGCCGAGAUGGCAAGGCCAAUGCAGCUCAGUCUGCAGGACAGCAGGCAGUCGGGCCAGGUUGAACAGGAAAGGGCUCACCACUGAUCCUUGUGGGACGCCCUCUACCAAAUAGGUCCAGGGCCUGCUGAACGACUGGAUAGGGCAGGCCGUCAAAGGCCCCCUUCAUGCCGAUAAGCACCAGGAGCACGGCGUCACCGCAGGCCUUGGCCUCUUCCAGCGUGGAGACCACGUCCACGAUGGAGUCCGCACUGCAUCAGCUCCGCCGGAACCCUAUCUGCUCAUCGGCCAGAAAGCAAUGGCCUCCAUCAGCUUGCAAGCAGCAGAGGAAGCCAUCAUCUGGUGCUGUGUACAGCAAGCACAUGCUUCGGGCAAGGAGGGAGCCAGCACCAUAUCUACAUCAGCAAGAACCUCGGUGCUCAAAAUAAACAUUUUCUGUGCAAAUACCUGUCUUUUUAUA